CGAUCUCCUUCUCCUUCUCCAUAACCAAGCACAACCUUGAGAAGAAGGAAAAGAAGAGUAAUAUUGAGUGCCGUGGUGAGGUAGUUGAUGCUGUUUCCGCCACGACUUUCGGUUCUUGCUCGGUGCCGCUGCCUCCUCCAUCAAGGUGUGAUAUUGAGUUAUUUCAUUAAUUCUCAAUUAUUUUAGAUCUCUAUUAGCACUUCUGUUACAAAUUUCUUAUAUAUUUUCAUCCAUAAUAAAAUUUCGUUAAUUCUCAAUUAUUUAUUUGUUAUUGGAUUGAUUUGUAAUGGAUUUACUCGUGAAUUUGUUCUAUGUUUGAGUGAUUUUUGCCAAUUGAGGUUAAUUGGAAGAAAUUAAGGGUUUCCUGAUUUCUCGAGGCUGUUUGUGGAAUUUUGGGGGAAUUUGAGAUGGAUAGGGGUUGCGGUGGUGGUUUCGUGGGUGCGGUGGUGGGUGUGGUGGUUGCGGUGGUGGUUUCGUGGAAUUGGAGAUGAAUCGUUGAAUUUGAUGUUUACCAACUGGUUGCUGUUGCCCUUUGCAGUUUUGUAUUAAAAAAGGAGUCCAAAUUUUACCAGAGACGUGGAAGGUUUGUGGUUGAAUCUACAUUCAGAUGUUAGUACCCGGGAUUCACAAAUUUCCUUGUCGACAUACUGAUGAUUAGUUGCUGUUUCAUAGUUUUUAAAGUACUAGGCUUGGACCCAACAUUGAAUGAUGAUACCUGCGAUCUUCCAAGGCCGUUGUGCUCAAAGUUUAUGAGAUUAUGUCAUGGAAGAGGUUAAGAAAGCUGGCUUUACUGAACCCACUGCUAUUCAAGCUCAAGGAUGGCCUAUGGCCCUAAAGGGUCGUGAUCUUAUUGGUCUUGCUGAAACAGGAUCAGGGAAAACACUUGCCUACUUGCUACCUGCUAUUAUACAUGUCAAUGCUCAGCCAAUUUUAUCUCCUGGUGAUGGUCCAAUUGUGUUAGUUCUGGCUCCAACUAGGGAACUUGUUGUACAAAUACAACAAGAAGCCACUAAGUUUGGCACUUCAUCAAGGAUUAAAAAUACCUGCAUUUAUGGCGGGGUUCCUAAGGGACCUCAAGUUCGUGAUCUCAAGAAAGGUAGGUGCUGCUUGAGUUUGACAUGACUUUGUCCGUCAAAGGGAGGGGACAAGGAUAUUCGAGAUGCUUUCCUAUCAUAUUGCGACUUUCGUGAUCUGCGCUACUUGUUUUAGGUGGGACAAGUGAUCCUUGUCUUUACAGCUCGUUCUAACGGCACUAAUCACUGCAUUGGGAAGUGUGUUGGCUGUUGUCCAACUGUGCCGGGAAAGAAAUCUGGAAAUAUAUAUGCCAUGAAAAAAUUGAAGAAAUCCGAAAUGCUUAGUCGAGGACAGGCCGGUGCAAGAAUCUAGCAAGCAAGGUGUUCUUCCUGGCAAACCAGUUCCUGAUCAGGGAGUGAGUAUUCGCUUGCAGGCUGGUCGAGUUAUGCAUCAGAGGGAGAAUGGAAAAGCAGGUCAGCAAGGGGAUCAUUUGAUGAGGGAGGCUGAUGUUGGUAGUCAAGGUAGUAGUGCUGACAGGCUUCAAUCGGUGGCUGAUGCAAUUCUGUAUGGAUGUGAGAGGGAGGGGGGCUGUUUUUACUCAUUGUUUGGGUAGCUGGGUGGCCUGGUCUGGCUUUGGCUCAUGGCUGCUGCUGGUUCCCUGCUGCUACUGGUUUUGGUUUCAGUGUUGAACUGGUAAUGGCUGAUCAGCUGCUUUUUGUUGCUGGUUUCCCUGUUUUGUUGUUGCUGUUUGAUGUUGGGUUGGCUGCUGCCUGUUUUUGGCUUCAGGGUGCUGCUGUGCUUGUGGCCUGCGUGGGGUUUAGUGCUGUUCUUGGGCUUUUGAAGCUGCUGCUGCUGUUGUUGGGCUGCCUGUUGCUGGGGUAUUGCUGUUUUUCUUUUGGUGUAGCUGCUGCUGGUGCCUAAUGUUUUCUGCAGGUUGGUCUGUUGCCACCUGUUGGCCUGUUCUGCGGGGGGCUGCUGCCACCUGCUGCAGUGCUGCUGUGUUGCUGAGUUGCCGUAUGUGUUCGGGAAGCUAUAAUCUUGUAUUUUAUUUUGAUUUAUAUUUUAUUUUUUUGGACGAAAAUUGUAAUAUUACAGCCUUUUUUAAUGAAAAAAUG